UCGUAUGCGAGUGUUCGGGUGUCAAACCCCUACGCGGAAUGAAAGUGAACGCAGGUGAGAGCUUCGGCGCAUCAUCGACCGAUCCUGAUGUUCUCGGAUGGAUUUGCGUAAGAGCAUACGGGGCCGGACCCGAAAGAAGGUGAACUAUGCCUGUAUAGGGUGAAGCCAGAGGAAACUCUGGUGGAAGCUCGCAGCGGUUCUGACGUGCGAAUCGAUCGUCAAAUAUGGGCAUGGGGGCGAAAGACUAAUCGAACCUUCUAGUAGCUGGUUUCCGCCGAAGUUUCCCUCAGGAUAGCAGUGUUGGACUCAGUUUUAUGAGGUAAAGCGAAUGAUUAGGGACUCGGGGGCGCUAUAUUGCCUUCAUCCAUUCUCAAACUUUAAAUAUGUAAGAAGCCCUUGUUACUUAACUGAACGUGGGCCUUCGAAUGUAGCAACACUAGUGGGCCAUUUUUGGUAAGCAGAACUGGCGAUGCGGGAUGAACCGAACGCGAGGUUAAGGUGCCGGAGUGGACGCUCAUCAGACACCACAAAAGGUGUUAGUACAUCUUGACAGCAGGACGGUGGCCAUGGAAGUCGGAAUCCGCUAAGGACUGUGUAACAACUCACCUGCCGAAUGUACUAGCCCUGAAAAUGGAU
rnacentral:rRNA from 1 species